rnacentral:rRNA from 1 species
UACAGAGGUCUCAAGCGUUGUUCGGAUUCAUUGGGCGUAAAGGGCGCGUAGGUGGCGAGGUAAGUCGGAUGUGAAAUCUCAGGGCUCAACCCUGAAACUGCAUUCGAUACUGCCUUGCUCGAGGACUGGAGAGGAGAUUGGAAUUCACGGUGUAGCAGUGAAAUGCGUAGAUAUCGUGAGGAAGACCAGUGGCGAAGGCGGAUCUCUGGACAGUUCCUGACACUGAGGCACGAAGGCCAGGGGAGCAAACGGG